rnacentral:tRNA from 1 species
CAGCUGGUAGCUUAAUGGAUAGAGCUACUGUCUUUGGACCAAGAGGUUGUAGCUUUGAAUCCCACCCCCAGCUGU